CUUGCCGCCAGGAGGCAGCAGGCUCGCAUCAAUAUUCGAGCAAUGGCGCAAGAUGCUAACUUCCGUAGCUUGACCGGAAGUUGAAGGCUCUCAGACAGAGGCCUGCCACGUUCGCCAUUCCCGGACAUGACUUUGCGUCUCUGGGAAAAAUGUCAAGGCUGACAUUUCGAGGUGCUGCGCGCAAAGUUGGGGAGGUCAGCGCAAGUUAAGUCGGCGCCCGCAAUGACCGCCGUUGCCCGCCUGCGCCACCAGUGGAAAAUGCAGCAAACAAAGCCGUCAAGGUGGGAUCCACUUUGGCGCGGUGCUGACAUGAAUUCUCAGCAGCAGUCUUGUUAAUGAACAUGAACUUUGGGACCCCCUCCUCAGCGAAAGCCCCCCCCCCCCCCCCCACCUUCCUUUCAGUCCCUUCUUCUCGACAGACGGGACGUCCACCUCUGGGCCGGCACGCACCGUGACGGAUCCCGCGCAUGACUUUCUUUGAACUGUCUUCAUUCAGUCAGAUGUGCACCGGGACCUUCACGGGGCGCAAAUCACGGACUUCCUGCUGCAGCAUCCAUGACGGUGUCCAUGGGAGGAGGUAAGAGUAAACAGUAGUAAACAACGGUAGCGGCGGGGGUGUGGGCCUCCCUGCUGGCUUGUAAACAGCCCCCCCAGACCCAGACCUGAACCCCCACCCCCACCUCCUGGCGUUACCUCUGCAGAGAGAGUGGCAACAUCUGGGCGUCGGCUCAGAUGGCGAAGCGAGCAGGCCUGGCCAAACGUCGGCCCGCAGAGGCUAAAUUGGGCUGAAACUAAUUAAAUAUUAAUCAAGGAAAUGUUUGUGCAAAAAAAAAAAAAAUAAUGCAAAAUUGUUUAAUUUGAAUAAUACAUAUAACUUACGUUUUUUUCAAUAUAUUUUUACAUAUUUUGCAUUCACUUUAAUUAUAACCAAUUCAAAAAGGUAA